GGCGCGACGCUGAACGAGGAUCGUAAAUGACUUCUACCCAUGUCCCCACAACUGAUACUACUUCACCGGCACGGUCUGCAAAACCUUAAUACGUCGGUUCGAUUCCGACCCGCGCCUCCA
rnacentral:tRNA from 1 species